rnacentral:tRNA from 1 species
GUGCCAUUAGCUCAGUUGGGAGAGCAUACGACUUUUAAUCGUAUGGUCAUUGGUUCAAAUCCAAUAUGGCACA